UACGUAGGUGGCAAGCGUUGUCCGGAAUUACUGGGCGUAAAGCGUGCGCAGGCGGUUUUGUAAGACAGGGGUGAAAGCCCCGGGCUCAACCUGGGAAUUGCAUUCGAGACUGAAUAGCUAGGGUACGGUAGAGGGAAGCGGAAUUUCCGGUGUAGCGGUGAAAUGCGUAGAUAUCGGAAGGAACAUCAGUGGCGAAAGCGGCUUCCUGGACCAGUACCGACGUUCAGGCACGAAAGCGUGGGGAGCAAACAGG
rnacentral:rRNA from 1 species